GGCAUGAUUGUUUUAGCUCAUG
rnacentral:miRNA from 1 species